GCCCCCGUAGUAUAACCUGGAUAGUACGCGAGCUUGCGGAGCUUGUAAUGCGGGUUCGAAUCCCGUCGGGGGCG
rnacentral:tRNA from 1 species